rnacentral:misc_RNA from 1 species
AACGCACAUUGCGCCCCUGGGAAUUCCCAGGGGCAUGCCUGUUCGAGCGUCCGUAACAACCUCUCAAGCCUGGCUUGGUCUUGGGACACGCUGCUCUGGCGGCGGUCCUUAAAAGCAGUGGCGGGCCUAUGUAACUCUCCGCGUAGUAAUAUAUAUCUCGCGAUAGAGAAGCAGAAGGACUUGCCAAAAAUCCUUAAUUGCUCAGGUUGACCUCGAAUCAGGUAGGGAUACCCGCUGAACUUAA